rnacentral:rRNA from 1 species
AACGAACGCUGGCGGCAGGCCUAACACAUGCAAGUCGAACGCCGUAGCAAUACGGAGUGGCAGACGGGUGAGUAACGCGUGGGAACAUACCCCUCGGUUCGGAAUAACUCAGGGAAACUUGAGCUAAUACCGGAUACGUCCGAGGUUUUGAUCGACCUUGGAGAAAGAUUUAUCGCCGAAGGAUUGGCCCGCGUCUGAUUAGCUUGUUGGUGAGGUAAUGGCUCACCAAGGCGACGAUCAGUAGCUGGUCUGAGAGGAUGAUCGGCCACAUUGGGACUGAGACACGGCCCAAACUCCUACGGGAGGCAGCAGGUGGGGAAUAUUGGACAAUGGGCGAAAGCCUGAUCCAGCCAUGCCGCGUGAGUGAUGAAGGCCUGG